CCAUUAUAUAAUUUGAUUGUCCCUUAAACAUGAAAGCUGGAUGGUUUAGCACGGAGAAUAAGCUACUUUCCGUGAAUUGCUGACCCAAGACCAAGACAGACCCAACAUCAGCAUUUUGCAUUUUGCUCUCGUUUUUUUUUUUUUUUUCCCCUCUUUCUCCCGUUAUGCUCAAAUUUUGGGUCCGCCUUGUCAAGUCCAAUCCCAUCAAUAAGGGUGCGGCUUAGGUCAGAAAUACCUUUAUCGAAGAUGAAAGUUACCCUGAAAUUAACCGCAUCUCAUUUUCCUGACGUCUACAGCAGUAUUUUGAGUGGACUUGAAGAAGAGAGGAUAAAGAAAAUAGUACAUCUUCCAGGUAUAUUUACUCCACCCUCAAAUUGACUCUCUUUUUUUCUUCUGAAACCUAACUCUUGGAGAAGUCUAUAGGAAUGUAUAUUACCGAAGAGUGAAAAAGUAGUUUGCCGCAACAGCAAUUUACUCAACACAGCUACUUCAGCUGUAACAAUCAAGCAACAAGUUGCCAUUAUUUUGAACCAUCUAUAUCUAAAAGAAAAUCACAAGUCAUGCAACCAGUCAUAGUUGACUAUUUAAACAGGUCAUCAUGACCAAUUGUCAUAAUAUUUGCCUCAGAGAUACAUUGAAAAUCUCCUAAUUAUGGAUUGUUCCUUCUUUUUUUUUGGGUAAAUCCCAAUUCUGGAUUAACGGCGCUCCAAAAAAGAAAGAAAAAAGAUAAAAGAAAUACAUGUUAGAAAAGAGCAUCAUUCACCAAGUCAGCUGCAGCAUACAAACGUCUUUAUGCAACUUACGGACAAAGAGGCACUCGUGCUUUCAAAGAUGACAAAACAGAGACGAACAAAACAAAGGAAACCAAGAAACAAAUAUUUAACUAUAUAUUACUACUAUAAAAAGACAAAAUUUUACAACCCAUUGCCAAUUGACACAAUAUUACAUACAGCUGGAAGAGGGGACGGGAGAAAAGGAUUAACAGAUAUCACAAAUCUAGAAUGUGCCGGACUAUCAACUAUACAUUCCCUUCAAAAUCUUCUAUGCAGGA
rnacentral:lncRNA from 1 species